UUGCCCAGUAACGGCGAGUGAAGCGGCAACAGCUCAAAUUUGAAAUCUGGCUCCUAGAGUCCGCAUUGUAAUUUGCAGAGGAUGCUUUUGAUGCGGUGCCUUCCGAGUUCCCUGGAACGGGACGCCAUAGAGGGUGAGAGCCCCGUCUGGUCGGAUGCCAAAUCUCUGUAAAGCUCCUUCGACGAGUCGAGUAGUUUGGGAAUGCUGCUCUAAAUGGGAGGUAUAUGUCUUCUAAAGCUAAAUAUUGGCCAGAGACCGAUAGCGCACAAGUAGAGUGAUCGAAAGAUGAAAAGCACUUUGAAAAGAGGGUUAAAAAGUACGUGAAAUUGUUGAAAGGGAAGCGCCUAUGACCAGACUUGGGCCCGGUGAAUCAUCCAGCGUUCUCGCUGGUGCACUUUGCCGGGCACAGGCCAGCAUCAGUUUGCCUUGGGGGAAAAAGGCUUUGGGAACGUAGCUCCUUCGGGAGUGUUAUAGACCAUUGCAUAAUACCCUGGGGCGGACUGAGGUUCGCGCAUCUGCAAGGAUGCUGGCGUAAUGGUCAUCAGCGACCCGUCUUGAAACACGGACCAAGGAGUCGUCUUCGUAUGCGAGUGUUCGGGUGUAAAACCCCUACGCGUAAUGAAAGUGAACGCAGGUGAGAGCUUCGGCGCAUCAUCGACCGAUCCUGAUGUUCUCGGAUGGAUUUGAGUAAGAGCAUACGGGGCCGGACCCGAAAGAAGGUGAACUAUUCCUGUAUAGGGUGAAGCCAGAGGAAACUCUGGUGGAGGCUCGCAGCGGUUCUGACGUGCGAAUCGAUCGUCAAAUAUGGGAAUGGGGGGCGAAAGACUAAUCGAACCUUCUAGUAGCUGGGUUUCCGCG
rnacentral:rRNA from 1 species